AUUGAACGCUGGCGGCAUGCCUUACACAUGCAAGUCGAACGGUAACGGGCCUUCGGGUGCCGACGAGUGGCGAACGGGUGAGUAAUGUAUCGGAACGUACCUUUCAGUGGGGGAUAACGUAGCGAAAGUUACGCUAAUACCGCAUAUUCUGUGAGCAGGAAAGCAGGGGAUCGCAAGACCUUGCGCUGAUUGAGCGGCCGAUAUCAGAUUAGCUAGUUGGUGAGGUAAAGGCUCACCAAGGCGACAAUCUGUAGCGGGUCUGAGAGGAUGAUCCGCCACACUGGAACUGAGACACGGUCCAGACUCCUACGGGAGGCAGCAGUGGGGAAUUUUGGACAAUGGGGGCAACCCUGAGCCAGCCAUGCCGCGUGAGUGAAGAAGGCCUUCGGGUUGUAAAGCUCUUUCGGCCGGGAAGAAAUCGUAUGGGUUAAUACCCUGUGCGGAUGACGGUACCGGCAUAAGAAGCACCGGCUAACUACGUGCCAGCCGCCGCCGUAAGAC
rnacentral:rRNA from 1 species